ensembl:lncRNA
UGUUUGGUUAUUUUAUUUACCAUUUUUGUUAAAUAAUGUUAAUAUAAAUAAAAAGAAUUAUGUUUAUUUUCAUAAAAUAUUUUAUAUGCUAAUGCGCACAUACCCCCAAGAUAUUUUUUACGAUUUAAGAUCGUUACAUAUAAAUAGAAUAGAUGAAUCGCAUUAUUUUAGGAAGAUAAAGAAUGUUAAAGAGAGGGAAAAGUUUAAAAGGGUGGACUGUUCGAUGAAGGAUGGUGUGAAUGGUAUGGGAAGUGAGAGAAGAGGUAGGAAAUGCAAACCCAGGGGAACAAGUAGUGCAAUAAGUAGAGAAGAAAGUAAAGGAGCAAGUAGAAGAAGACGUAGUGAUUAUAUGAAUAAAAAGCAAAAUGUAAUGCGAACAAAUUCAAAAAAUAUGGUAGGCGACGGUGUGUCAAGUAUUAGUGUACAAAGCAACAAUUGUUUAAAUCACUGUAAGUUGGAAAAUGGGAUGGUAUUAGGAACUGGUAUGAUAGUUAGUAAUAGUAUUAGGACUGGUAGCAGUGUCUAUGAUAGCAAUGGUUCUACUAAUAACUCUAACCACAACCAAAACCAAAACGCUAAGAAUUGCGCUAGCCAUAAGGUUAACGAACAUAAUAACACCCUCGCUGAUAAAAAAGAAAAGAAGUCUACUAAAAAGAAAAAACAAAGUGAUAAACACAUUAGCAAAAAAAAAACAACAUCGAACGAAUGUGGUAUUUUGUUAGAUGUUAAAAAAAAUGUCAUUCGAAAUAAUAUACAAGUGAAUAAAAAAAAGAAUUGUAGCAAUAAGGACAGUAAUGAUAAUUUAAAUAGUAGUACUAAAAGGUGGGAGAACAUGAAUAAAUAUAAAUAUAAACAUAUUGAUAUACACGAAGAUGGAUUUGAUCAAUUAUUGUAUAUGUUUAAGUCGAACUACUCGGAUAUAUAUUUUUCCUUGGAUUACAUGUGUAAAGAAAUAUUAAAUUAUGCAAGGAUUAAAGCACAUGAAGAAACUUAUUACUUGAUAAAUAAACUGCUUGAUUAUUGUGUAAACAUUCCAUAUAACGAUGUAAAUACGUAUGAACUUCUUAUCAAUUUUUUAAAACAAAAAUCAAUAUAUAAACAAUAUAAAGAUAGAUUAAAAAAAAAUAAGAUAUACGGUGUUGAAAAUAGGACAAUGGAAACAUGCAUGAAUGAGUUUUGGCAAGAAUUUCGAAAAGAUAUGAAAUAUUUAAAAAAAUUAGUAUUGUGUGAUAAUUUGUUUUUUAUGCAGAAAAAACAAACAAACAAACAAGUCAAAUUAUUAAAAAAUAGUAGUCAUGCUGAUAAAACCGAACUGAAAUGGUUAAAAGGGAGUUAUAAAUUUUUAUCUACAAACAAUACGGAAUGUAACUGCAAACAUUUUAAUUGUAAGCACGAUAAUUGUAAGCACGAUAAUUGCAAACACGAUAAUUGCAAACACGAUAAUUGCAAACACGAUAAUUGCAAACACGAUAAUUGCAAGCACGUUAAUUGCAAACACGAUAAUUGCAAACACGAUAAUUGCAAGCACGUUAAUUGCAAACACGAUAAUUGCAAGCACGUUAAUUGCAAACAUGUUAAUUGCAAACAUGUUAAUUGCAAACAUGUUAAUUGUAAGAAAUUUUCACUAUCCGAUUUUAUUAACAUGGUUAAAAAAUGGAAAAAUAUGCUUUUUAUAAUUAUAGAAUCGUUGAAAGAAAAUAACAAAAUAAAAGAUUUUGCUUUUUGUUUAAGCAAUAAAAUUUCGAAUUUGCCUUUAUCAAUUGAACUACCUGGCGCACGGUUAAAAUAUAUUAGUAAUUUUAUGGAUGUUCAUGAAAAUAUAAGUAUAUUUAGUCCCCCACAAAUCAUAAAAUUAAAUUUACCAGUAGCUUCAACUGUUAAUAACUUAAGCUUAAAUAAGAUAAGCUUUUUAACCAAUGAUGGGAAUGUACAUUAUUUUAUAAUAAAACCGUGUAACUUUAUUAUUCAUAAAUCUGAACAGAAAUAUAAGUUACUACAAAUGUUAUUAAAUAAUAUAAUGCUGAAACAUGAAGAAACAAAAAAAAGGAAUUUAUUAUUAAAAAUAUACCUGAACAUAUCUUUGCAUCCAAAUUUUAGAUUAAUGGAAACAAACGAUGAUGAUGUGACUCUUAAACAAUUAUACAACGAGCAUGCACUGUUAAAUGGAAAUGACAAAAACACUUUUGAUAAUGUUUUAAUAUGGCACAGGGAAUUGAUAACCAAUUCGAUUCGUAAUUUGAUUGCACAAAAAUGUCAAGUCAUAUUGGAAAAGCAAAAGGAAAUUAAAAAAAAAGAAAGAGCAGCUAUAAAAUCGGUGACUAAGCACCUUCCUAAAUCGAUGGGUAAAAAAAAAGAUACCAAUUUACAAUUGAAUAAAAUAAAUGCUAAAGGUAAAAUCAAAACUAAGAUAAAACAUAAUAUAGUGAAAAGGGUUCCUUGUGAUAAUAGUUUAUUGUAUGGGAAAAGAGGUAUAGAUAAAAUAAGUAGCAAUGAUGAAGUUAACAACAAUCAACUGUUAAAAAAGAGGAAAUCUUGUUCGACUUACAUUAGAACUGCUAUCAAUGCAACUACGACUGAUGGUACAAAUGGUAUUCCCGUUUGUGCCCUCCCGAACAUAAAGUACAAUUUGCUUCCUUACGAAACGCUAAUAAAUAUGCUAAAAAGAUAUGAAUGGUUUGAUAAAUUUUACAAACAAUGUGAGAAUACCUGUUUAAAAAUACAUUAUAAAGACAUAUAUAAAAUUGUAUCAAAAAACAUAAUAAAAAAAUAUUUCAUGUCUAUUUAUAACAAUAAUAUAGAUAGUUAUUAUAUGAUACAAAAUGAAUUUACUGCAAAUUAUUCACUACUAUGUAUGUUAAAUUAUAUAUUUUUGCAAGGAUGUCCAUCUUUAAGUAAUAUUAUAUUAUCAAGAUAUUCAGGUUGUUGUACGUAUUUUGAAACCAAACCGUUAUAUAUUGACAUAGGAAUGAAAAAAAAGGCAUUGAAUCAAAAAAAAAAUAAAAAUAAAAAAAUAAGAAAGAAUCUACCUUUUCGAUUAACACGAAAUAUUCAACAGUUUAUUGGUAAUGAAGGAUUAACUGGGUCUUUUCCAUUUAACUUUUAUGCUUCCAUUAUGGCAAUAAAAAAAUAUUUUUAUUUAAUAAAGGGUUUUUUAAGUUUAACAAUUUCAACAGAUUUAGUUAAUUUAGAAAUGUAUAACAAAAAUAUAAAAUAUUUUCAAUAUGAAUUUCAAAAAAAAUAUAAUGAGCAACAAGGAAAAAAAAAAAUACCAACGUGCAUGAACUCAUUUGAAAUGAUAAAUUCAAAAAAAAAAAAUAAAAAUUUUGUGAAAGCUGAAAAAUUGGUGAAUGAUAUAAUGUACCGUGUAUUAUUUUUAUAUAAAAACGGAUUGGAUGAAACGAAUAAUAAUUUAUUAGCAAAAAAUGUGAAAAAAAAAGCAACUGUUCAGGCGGGUGAAGAGUUAUAUGAGUAUGAUUCGGACUUACAGUGCAUAUCCUUGUCUGAAAUAUCAUCAGAUGAAACUAAUGCGGAUAUGAAUAUUGCUGAGGAUGGUGCUGCUACUGAAGAGGUAGGUGCUAGCACCAAUUUAAAUAAUCAGAAUUCUAUAGAAAUAGACGGAGCUGAUGAUAAAGUAAAACACAAACUGACCUUUGUAUCUUCAAAUGUGAAUUGUAGUAAUACCAACAGAGCUAUUGAUAUUAAGGAAGGGGCAUUAAUGAAAGAAAAAAACCUAAGUGAUAAUAAUAAAAGGGAAAUAAAUAAAAAAAAAGGUGUUCACACAACUAAAGACAAUCAAACAGGUUCCAAUAAAACAUGUGCCAAUAAAACAUGUGCCAAUAAAACAUGUGCCAAUAAAACAUGUGCCAAUAAAACAUGUGCCAAUAAAACAUGUUCCAAUUUAACAAGUACCAAUUCAAGUGCUAACCAAACCGGAUAUGCACUUAAAAUUAAGGUCGAAGCAAUUUCACCUAAAACGAAGAAAACAAAAACUAAAACUAAAACUAAAAAUAAUACUAAAACUAAAACUAAAAAUAAUACUAAAACUAAUACUAAGACUAAUACUAAGACUAAUACUAAAACUAAUACUAAAACUAAUACUAAAACUAAUACUAANNNNNNNNNNUAAAACUAAUACUAAAACUAAUACUAAAACUAAUACUAAAACUAAUAUUAAAACUAAAACUGUGGCUAAUAAGUGUACACAAAAAAGAAAAACCCAAACUAAAAAACAACCCCAAACCAAUAGUGAUUUGCAAAAUGACAACGAAGUUAAUCAUUCGGAAGAAACAUCAUUGAAUAAAAAUAUAAAAAGUGCGAGUAAAAAAAAUAAU